UACAUCAGAUGUAAGUGUAGGAUACAG
rnacentral:piRNA from 1 species